rnacentral:misc_RNA from 1 species
GAAAUGCGAUAAGUAAUUUGAAUUGCAGAAUUCAGUGAAUCAUCGAAUCUUUGAACGCACCUUGCGCUCCUUGGUAUUCCUUGGAGCAUGCCUGUUUGAGUAUCAUGAAAUCUUCAAAGUAAAUCUUUUGUUAACUCAAUUGGUUUCUACUUUGGUAUUGGAGGUCUUUGCAGCUUCACACCUCCUCCUCUUUGUUCAUUAGCUGGAUCUCAGUGUUAUGCUUGGUUCCACUCGGCGUGAUAAGUUAUCUAUCGCUGAGGACACUGUAAAAGGUGGCCAAGGUAAAUGCAGAUGAACCGCUUCUAAUAGUCCAUUGACUUGGACAAUACUUUUAUGAUCUGAUCUCAAAUCAGGUAGGACUACCCGCUGAACUUAAGC